ensembl:lincRNA
AGGAGGGAGACAGACUUUUUUGAGGCUUGCACUUGUAGGCUGAUCUGAAGUGGACAUUUGAUCCCUUUCAGAAUUCUAGUCCUGCCGACCUUCUGCUCUGCUUUUGAGCCCCAAGUCCAAGGUGCAAGUGAGAAGCAGCGAAGGAGGCCUGGAGGUGGCUCCCUGACUUACCUUUUCAUCAGAAGAGGGGACAGUAGGACAGAGCUCCUCAGGCCUCCCAGCUCCAGCCCUCAACUCUUGUGACCUUAUCCCAGAAAAAAGAAGAGAACAAGAGGAGGAGGAGGAGGAGGAGGAGGAGGAGAAAAAGGAGGAAGAAGAAGAGGAGGAGGAAGAAGAGGAAGGGGAGGAAGAGGAGGAAGAGGAGGAAGAAAAGGAGGAGGAAGAGGAAGAGGAGGAAGAUGAUGAGGAAGAUGAGGAGGAGGAAGAGGAGGAGGUGGAAGAGGAAGAGGAAGAGGAGGAAGAGGA